ACUACUACUGGGGAUACUACUACUACUACUGGGGAUACUACUACUACUGGGGAUACUACUACUACUACUGGGGUUACUACUACUACUACUGGGGUUACUACUACUACUACUGGGGUUACUACUACUACUACUGGGGUUACUACUACUACUACUACUGGGGUUACUACUACUACUACUACUGGGGUUACUACUACUACUGGGGAUACUACUACUACUGGGGAUACUUCUACUGGGGAUACUUCUACUGAGGUUACUACUACUGGGGACACUACUAUUACUGGGGACACUACUAUUACUGGGGUUACUACUACAACUGGGGUUACUACUACAACUGGGGAUACUACUACUGGGGAUACUACUACUGGGGAACCUACUACAACUGGGGUUACUACUUCUGGGGAUACUACUACUCGGGAUACUACUACUGGGGUUACUACUACUGGGGAUACUACUACUGGGAUUACAACUACUGGGGAUACUACUACUGGGGAUACUACUACUGGGGAUACUAUUACUACUACUACCGGGGAUACUACUACCAGGGUUACUGCUACUGGGGUUACUACUACUGGGGUUACUACUACUGGGGUUACUACUACUACUGGGGAUACUACUACUGGGGAUACUACUACUACUGGGGUUACUACUACUACUGGGGAUACUACUACCGGGGAUACUACUACCAGGGUUACUGCUACUGGGGUUACUACUACUGGGGAUACUACUACUGGGGAUACUACUACUGGGGAUACUACUACUACUGGGGUUACUACUACUACUGGGGUUACUACUACUACUGGGGAUACUACUACUGGGGAUACUACUACUGGGGUUACUACUACUACUGGGGUUACUACUACUACUACUGGGGUUACUACUACUGGGGAUACUACUACUACUACUAGGGUUACUGCUACUGGGGAUACUACUACUUCUAGGGAUACUACUACUGGGGAUACUACUACUACUACUGGGGAUACUACUACUGGGAUUACUACCACUACUACUACUGGGGAUACUACUACUGGGAUUACUACUACUACUGGGGUUACUACUACUGGGGAUACUACUACUGGGGAUACUACUACUGGGGAUACUACUACUGGGGUUACUACUACUACUACUGGGGUUACUACUACUACUACUGGGGUUACUACUACUACUACUGGGGUUACUACUACUGGGGUUACUACUACUACUGGGGAUACUACUACUACUGGGGAUACUACUACUGGGGUUACUACUACUACUGGGGUUACUACUACUACUGGGGUUACUACUAUUACUACUGGGGAUACUACUAUUACUACUGGGGAUACUACUACUACUGGGGUUACUACCACUGGGGAUACUACUACUGGGGUUACUAAUACUGGGGUUACUACUACUGGGGUUACUACUACUACUACUGGGGAUACUACUACUACUGGGGAUACUACUACUACUACUGGGGAUACUACUACUACUGGGGAUACUACUACUGUGGAUACUACUACUGGGGAUACUACUACUGGUGUUACUAUUACUACUGUGGUUACAACUACUGGGGAUACUACUACUGGGGUUACUACUACUACUACUGGGGAUACUACUACUACUGGGGAUACUACUACUGGGGAUACUACUACUACUGGGGUUACUACUACUACUGGGGUUACUACUACUACUGGGGUUACUACUACUACUGGGGUUAUUACUACUGGGGUUACUACUAUUACUACUGGGGAUACUACUACUACUGGGGUUACUACUACUGGGGACACUACUACUACUGGGGAUACUACUACUGGGAUUACUACUACUGGGGAUACUACUACUGGGGAUACUACUACUGGGGAUACUAUUACUACUACUACCGGGGAUCCUACUACCAGGGUUACUGCUACUGCGGAUACUACUACUGGGGUUACUACUACUGGGGAUACUACUACUGGGGUUACUACUACUACUGGGGUUAUUACUACUGGGGCUACUACUACUGGGGUUACUACUACUGUGGAUACUACUACUGGGGAUACUACUACUGGGGAUACUACUACUACUGGGGAUACUACUACUACUGGGGAUACUACUACUACUACUGGGGAUACUACUACUACUACUGGGGAUACUACUACUACUACUGGGGAUACUACUACUACUGGGGAUACUACUACUACUGGGGAUACUACUACUGGGGUUACUACUACUACUGCUGGGGUUACUACUACUACUGGGGUUACUACUACUACUACUACUGGGUUUACUACUACUACUACUACUGGGGUUACUACUACUACUACUGGGGUUACUACUACUACUACUACUACUACUACUGGGCUUACUACUACUACUACUGGGGUUACUACUACUACUACUGGGGUUACUACUACUACUGGGGUUACUACUACUACUGGGGUUACUACUACUACUGGGGUUACUACUACUGGGGUUACUGAUCCUGGGGAUACUACUACUGGGGAUACUACUACUACUACUGGGGAUAUUUCUACUACUGGGGUUACUACUACUACUGGGGAUACUACUACCGGGGUUACUGCUAAUGGGGUUACUACUACUGGGGUUACUACUACUGGGGAUACUACUACUGGGGUUACUACUACUGGGGUUACUACUACUGGGGUUACUACUACUACUACUACUGGGGAUACUACUACUACUGGGAUUACUACUGGUGAUUACUACUACUGGGGAUUACUACUACUAGGGAUACUACUACUGGAGUUACUACUACUGGGGAUACUACUACUGGGGAUACUACUACUGGGGUUACUACUACUGGGGUUACUACUACUGGGGUUACUACUACUACUACUACUACUGGGGAUACUACUACUACUGGGAUUACUACUGGGGAUUACUAAUACUGGGGAUUACUACUACUGGGGAUACUACUACUGGAGUUACUACUACUGGGGUUACUACUACUGGGGUUACUACUACUGGGGAUACUACUACUGGGGUUACUACUACUGGGGUUACUACUACUGGGGUUACUACUACUACUACUGGGGUUAUUACUACUGGGGCUACUACUACUACUACUGGGGUUCUACUACUGGGGAUACUACUACUGGGGAUACUACUACUGGGGAUACUACUACUGGGGAUACUACUACUGGCGAUACUACUACUGGGGUUACUACUACUACUGGGGUUACUACUACUACUGGGGAUACUACUACUGGGGAUACUACUACUGUGGAUACUACUACUGGGGAUACUGCUACUGGGGAUACUACUACUACUGGGGAUACUACUCCUACUGGGGAUACUACUACUACUGGGGAUACUACUACUACUGGGGAUACUACUACUACUGGGGAUACUACUACUACUGGGGUUACUACUACUACUGGGGUUAUUACUACUGGGAUACUACUACUACUACUACUACUACUGGGGUUACUACUACUGGGGUUACUACUACUGGGGACACUACUACUACUGGGGACACUACUACUACUGGGGUUACUACUACUGGGGACACUACUACUACUGGGGACACUACUACUACUGGGGUUGAUACCACUACUGGGGUUGAUACUACUACUGGGGUUGAUACUACUACUGGGGUUGGUGAUACUACUACUGGGGUUGAUGAUACUACUACUGGGGACACUACUACUACUGGGGUUACUACUGGGGUUACUACUACUACUGUUGAUACUACUACUACUGGGGAUACUACUACUACUGGGGUUACUACUACUACUACUGGGGUUACUACUACUACUACUACUGGGGUUACUACUAAUACUGGGGUUACUACUACUGGGGAUACUACUACUACUGGGGAUAAUACUACUGGGGUUACUUCUACUGGGGUUACUUCUACUAGUAUUGCCACUACUAGGAUUGUUACUACUGGUGUUACUACUACUGGGAUUACUACUACCGGGAUUACUACUACUGGAAUUAAUACUACUGGGUUUGCUACUACUGGGGUUACUACUACUACUGGGAUUACUAUUACUGGGAUUACUACUACUGGAAUUAAAACUACUGUGAUUGCUACUAAUGGGUUUACUAAUACUGGGAUUACUAAUACUGGAAUUAAUACUACUGGGAUUGCC
rnacentral:lncRNA from 1 species